rnacentral:lncRNA from 1 species
UUGUUGGAUGUCUCUGAGGAACAGUGGUGUUGGAUGUCACCACAAUGUCUCCGAGGAGUGAUGUCGUCGUACUGUCCCCAAGGAGCGGUGUUGUUGGAUGUCAUCGUACUGUCCCCAAGGAACGGUGUUGUUGGAUGUCACCACAAUGUCUCCGAGGAACGGUGUUGGAUGUCACCACACUGUCCCCAAGGAGUGAUGUCGUCGUACUGUCCCCAAGGAGCGGUGUUGUUGGAUGUCACUGCAAUGUCUCCGAGGAACGGUGUUGGAUGUCACCGCAAUGUCUCUGAGGAGCGGUGUCAUCGUACUGUCCCCAAGGAACGGUGUUGUUGGAUGUCACCGCAAUGUCUCCGAGGAACGGUGUUGCUGGAUGUCACCACACUGUCCCCAAGGAACGGUGUUGGAUGUCGUCGUACUGUCCCCAAGGA